AUUGAACGCUGGCGGCAGGCCUAACACAUGCAAGUCGAACGAGUGGCGGACGGGUGAGUAAUGUCUGGGAAACUGCCUGAUGGAGGGGGAUAACUACUGGAAACGGUAGCUAAUACCGCAUACCAUCGGAUGUGCCCAGAUGGGAUUAGCUUGUUGGUGGGGUAACGGCUCCCCAAGGCGACGAUCCCUAGCUGGUCUGAGAGGAUGACCAGCCACACUGGAACUGAGAAACGGUCCAGACUCCGACGGGAGGCAGCAUGGGGGAAGAUUGCACAAUGGGCGAAAGGCUGAUGCAGCCAUGCCGGGUGUGUGAAGAAGGCUUUCGGUUUGUAAAGCAUGUUCAGCGGGGAGGGGUUACCCGCAGAAGAAGCACCGGCUAACUCCGUGCCAGCAGCCGCGGUAUUC
rnacentral:rRNA from 1 species